rnacentral:rRNA from 1 species
GGUUCUUCGCAGGCAUACUAAAGAAGAACGAAAGUAUUUAUCGGCAACGGAGUGGGGAUGCGUCUGAUUAGGUUGUUGGCGGGUAACGGCCCACCAAGCCCACGAUCAGUAGGGGUUCUGAGAGGAAGGUCCCCCACAUUGGAACUGAGACACGGUCCAAACUCCUACGGGAGGCAGCAGUGAGGAAUAUUGGUCAAUGGACGGAAGUCUGAACCAGCCAAGUAGCGUGCAGGACGACGGCCCUAUGGGUUGUAAACUGCUUUUAUGUGGGAAUAAAGUGAGGGACGUGUCCCUUUUGUAGGUACCUGACUAAGAAGCCCCGGCUAAUUCCGUG